rnacentral:rRNA from 1 species
CAGUCGCCGCGGUAAUACGAAGGUCCCAAGCGUUGUUCGGAAUCACUGGGCGUAAAGGGAGCGUAGGCGGCGUGGUAAGUCAGAUGUGAAGUCCCGGGGCUCGACCCCGGAACUGCAUCCGAUACUGCCAUGCUUGAGGGUUGGAGAGGUGACUGGGAUUCUCGGUGUAGCAGUGAAAUGCGUGGAUAUCGAGAGGAACACUCGUGGCGAAGGCGAGUCACUGGACAACAUCUGACGCUGAGGCUCGAAGGCUAGGGUAGCGAAAGGGAUUAGAUACCCCCGUAGUCCCUGUCUCUUAUAC